UACAGAGGUCUCAAGCGUUGUUCGGAUUCAUUGGGCGUAAAGGGUGCGUAGGUGGCAUGGUAAGUCGGAUGUGAAAUCCCGGGGCUCAACCCCGGGAACUGCAUUCGAUACUGCUGAGCUAGAGUACUGGAGAGGAGAUUGGAAUUUACGGUGUAGCAGUGAAAUGCGUAGAUAUCGUAAGGAAGACCAGUGGCGAAGGCGGAUCUCUGGACAGUUACUGACACUGAGGCACGAAGGCCAGGGGAGCAAACGGG
rnacentral:rRNA from 1 species